rnacentral:rRNA from 1 species
AACGUAGGAGACAAACGUUAUCCGGAGUUACUGGGCGUAAAGGGCGUGCAGGUGGUCUGUUAAGUCUGGCGUGAAAGCUCUCGGCUAAACCGGGAGAGGUCGUUGGAUACUGGCGGACUAGAGGACGGUAGAGGCGUGUGGAAUUCCGGGUGUAGUGGUGAAAUGCGUAGAGAUCCGGAGGAACACCGGUGGCGAAGGCGGCAUCCUGGACCAACACUGACACUGAGGAGCGAAAGCCAGGGGAGCAAACGGG